UUUUAAAUUAGCCCCUCCUUCACGCAGAAACGGGCACCUCAGUUUAUUACUGAGCUUCUUUCUCCCUCUCUUCUUGAUCUUUUAUUCCUUCUUCUUUUAUCCUCCUCUUCUUUUUCUUCUUGUUCACUAGAGUAACAGAGAGAGGGAGAGGCAGAGAACAAGAGAGAUCAGGGAGAGGAGAGAUUGAGUGAGAUUGAGAGGCAUCACAGAGAGAGAUUGAGAGGGAGAUCAAAGAGAGAGAGUUGAGAACAGAGAGUGAGAUCGAGAGAGAUACGGACAGAGAGGGAGAGCCGGAGGCCGAUCCUCUAUGGAUUGACGCCGGCGACUCGAGUUCCGGCCGGUGCUACUGGUGGGUCAACUCCGGUAGAAACCAGGAGCUUGGACCCGUGACCGUGAGACCCAUGACCCAGACCGAACCGAGAGAGAGAUCCGGUGGCUUCCAGUGGCGAUUUCCGGCAAUAUUUUCCGGUGGGUUCGACGGAAGGACGAAUUCCGAUGACACAGUAAGGCGGAGUCAUUUAUUUGUAAUGGCGUAGACCUCGCUAAGAGCAAUAGAUCGUUGUGGACUGACCAAAUCUUUAUAUUGUAUAGUAUGUCUCUUUUUGGAGUUUAUAACUUUGUAAAUAAUUAUUAAUAGGCAUGAAUAAUAAAAUAAGAAGUUACUAUUUAUAUGUUGUAAA